UACGUAGGGUGCAAGCGUUGUCCGGAAUUAUUGGGCGUAAAGGGCUCGUAGGCGGUCCGUCACGUCGGCUGUGAAAACCCGGGGCUCAACCCCGGGCCUGCAGUCGAUACGGGCGGACUAGAGUUCGGCAGGGGAGACUGGAAUUCCUGGUGUAGCGGUGAAAUGCGCAGAUAUCAGGAGGAACACCGGUGGCGAAGGCGGGUCUCUGGGCAGUAACUGACGCUGAGGAGCGAAAGCGUGGGGAGCGAACAGG
rnacentral:rRNA from 1 species